CUUGGCAUUUGAGGGUUUAACAACCCACUACCACUUCGCCCUCAGUUGUUUCGGAUGGCACUCAAUGUGGUGCACCCUCCGCAUGAACGCGCAAACAGAGUGGAAGUAGUUAGGGAGGAGUAGCAAGCAGUUUCGGAAAGGCCCAGACUGAGGGAGCAAAUGACCCUAUAUGGAACCGAGCUGUUGGUACAAAAAGCAGCUCAAAACAGAGCGUUCAGAACAGGAGGAAAUCUGAGACGGCCCUCCACUCAGCUGGUGGGUAGGGGGUCCAGGUGUAGGACAGGUGCAGACUUAUUGGGGUGGGGCUUCACCCAGCAGCCAGCAGUGCGCAUGCGGCCUGCAGGAGAACUGCGUGGACCCCAAACAUCACUGCAACUGCGAUGCUGACCGCACUGAGUGCUCUCCUCUUCUUUUGUUCCUCUAGCCUUUGGCUUCCUUUUUCAAUUCAGCUUCUUCCUCUCCUUCUUGUGCUUUGUCCUUUCCCCUACCUUCCAGGUUGAAUGACUCAGGCCUACUGACCCAUAAGGAGACCCUCCCUGUCAGAUCUUUGGUGCUGGGUGACGUCCAGAGGCCUGGCUCCGAAAGCGCCUACAGGGUGGGGCAUCUCCGUUGCCAUGGAGACAAAAAUGUCUGGAACGCUGCAUUUUUUGACAAGGAGACGUCGUACCUCCACUUUCCCACAUUCCACGGAGAGCUGAGUGCAGACAUCUCCUUCUUUUUCAAAACCACUUCAUCCUCUGGUGUCUUCCUGGAAAACUUGGGCAUCAAAGACUUCAUUCGGAUCGAAC